AAUAGGCGAUAUUUACUACCGUCCCAUAUAAAACGGAGACGGGAUACUGCCUAUCUAGUCGUGCCAGCAAACUUGGAAGGUGGUGUAUCCCCUCUCGUUCGGCCAACAUCAUCAGACCAGCCGAGCUGUCAAGAAUUCUGGACGAACUGUGUGUGAAGGGAUUCAAGGUUUUGGCGAAUAUCUUGGACGUCGCAAAAAGAGUUAUCGAAAAUGGAGGGAAACAAAACACCAGAACGCACGGCUCCACCUUCC